AUGCUGAUGUGCCGACGCCAAUAGAGGGAUGGCUUGGCUUGAGAAGAGAUGAAGGACGUGGCAAGCUGCGAUAAGCUUAGGGUAGGUGCAGGCGACCUAUGAUCCUGAGAUGUCCGAAUAGGAAUCCGAUGCGUUAAGCAUACUCAAUUACAAUGGUAGUUGAGGUCGAACC
rnacentral:rRNA from 1 species